GAUGAACGCUGGCGGCGUGCCUAAUACAUGCAAGUCGAGCGAACAGACGAGGAGCUUGCUCCUCUAACGUUAGCGGCGGACGGGUGAGUAACACGUGGAUAACCUACCUAUAAGACUGGGAUAACUUCGGGAAACCGGAGCUAAUACCGGAUAAUAUAUUGAACCGCAUGGUUCAAUAGUGAAAGACGGUUUUGCUGUCACUUAUAGAUGGAUCCGCGCCGCAUUAGCUAGUUGGUAAGGUAACAGCUUACCAAGGCAACGAUGCGUAGCCGACCUGAGAGGGUGAUCGGCCACACUGGAACUGAGACACGGUCCAGACUCCUACGGGAGGCAGCAGUAGGGAAUCUUCCGCAAUGGGCGAGAGCCUGACGGAGCAACGCCGCGUGAGUGAUGAAGGUCUUCGGAUCGUAAAACUCUGUUAUUAGGGAAGAACAAAUGUGUAAGUAACUAUGCACGUCUUGACGGUACCUAAUCAGAAAGCCACGGCUAACUACGUG
rnacentral:rRNA from 1 species